UUGCGACCUGUCAUUGUGUCGGUAAAGUAGCGAUCUGUGAUUCUAUUCGAAUUUUGAACUUUUUUUUAACUAAUAGAAGUAUCGCCACUAUUUCAGAAAAAAUAUCAUGUGUGAUUGAAAAACUAAGAAUAGAAAUGUUUGAAAGUGGCACUGACUUUGAUUUCGGUGAUGAUUUGAGUUUCAAUUUCGAAAAAAAUGAUAAUACGAGAGGUGACAAACGCCCAAGUGAGUCACCCCCACGUAAAAAAACGAAAUUUAGUGUUCCAAAGACAGUUUUUGUGAAACGAAAAUUCCCCGGUCCUGCGGGGCUCCUCGAUUUGGAAAACUCGACUAAAAAUGAGGUCAUUCCGUGCUCCCAAAUGUCACUGUCAGUCUUCCAGACAGCCCCCUGGCUCCAUAUGUGUCAAGACAACGAAACGUUGAUUGGCCAGUAUGAUAUCAAGUGGAUCAAGAGUGCGGCAAGUCGAGGGAGAUUGCUGAAUCAGAAAGCCCCAUUCCUGGGGGCUGUUAUUAAAAGUGUGGAGUGUUUUGAGGGGAAAAAUACGAUUGUUAAGGUUGUUUUGAAGGACGACACGGGUGAAAUUCAAGGCUCGAUUAUUCAUAAUUUGUUUGAAGAACAUUCCGAAUUUUUGGUGGCUGAUUCUGUGAUUGUUUUGAGACAGUGUAGUAUCAUUACGACCGGUUUUGGUAAUCAUUAUUUGACCAUAACUCGGAAUAAUUUGGUGGCGAUUUAUUGGAAUGAUAAAGACGGGGAUUUGAAGGUUAAAAGACUGCAAGAGGUGUCCAAUGAGGAGCAAAAAAAAUCAAACCAAGUUGAAAUUAAACAAACAGAUGAAGAAAUUUUGAAAAAUAUCCUCGAAGAAGUCGAUCUUGACUCACUUUUUGAUGAUUUCUAAUUUGUAAGAUUUUGUAAAGAAUAUAAAUUUGUUUAGUUUUUAAAACCCGGCCUUAAAAAUCGACCUAAUAUCACCUUAGUAACCCCCAUCUGUCACCCGAAUGUCGUCCCCUAAGAUGCAAAUCGACGAAAAACGCGAAUUAGAAACGAGCAAACCGGCCGAUUUCUCCUUCAAAAAAUUGAAACUCCUCGAAGAUCGACAAUUUAGAUUUUACUCCGGUUUUGAAAAAUGAAAAAUUGGCCCCAAAACCGGCCGAAUUUCUUAAGGAUAUUAGAGCGACAAGAGGCACCAAAGAAGUAAUUAAGGGCGACGACUGAUUCAUUGUUAUUUUUUUGAAAAUAAAACGGAAAAGACAGUU